GGGAUUUGCUGUAUGUUUCUCUGGCAACUUAAGUAACACCACAGUUGACUUUAUUCCCUUAUGUGAUGAUGGGAUGUCGUUGAUGACCCAGAAACUUGCCUUAUCCAACCAUUCAGAAGAAUUUCCAGAAACUGCUCUUCAUUUUUUCUUGGUACCUUUUGCUGGAUUAUGGGAUACAUCUAAGGCAAUUGGAGAAACACCAAAUGGGCCUAUUACAAUAUCUUUUUCUGGAGAAAAGAAGUUUGGAUUUCGUUUGUUGUAUAAACAAGAACCAAAUCUUGAGGGCUUGUUACA
rnacentral:misc_RNA from 1 species